rnacentral:rRNA from 1 species
UCGGGAAUUUUGGGCAAUGGGCGAAAGCCUGACCCAGCAACGCCGCGUGAAGGAUGAAGUAUUUCGGUAUGUAAACUUCGAAAGAAUAGGAAGAAUAAAUGACGGUACUAUUUAUAAGGUCCGGCUAACUACGUGCCAGCAGCCGCGGUAAUACGUAGGGACCAAGCGUUGUUCGGAUUUACUGGGCGUAAAGGGCGCGUAGGCGGCAAUUCAAGUCAUCUGUGAAAUCUCCGGGCUUAACUCGGAACGGUCAGAUGAUACUGCUUUGCUAGAGUGCAGAAGGGGCAAUCGGAAUUCUUGGUGUAGCGGUGAAAUGCGUAGAUAUCAAGAGGAACACCUGAGGUGAAGACGGGUUGCUGGGCUGACACUGACGCUGAGGUGCGAAAGCGUGGGGAGCAAACAGGAUUAGAUACCCCUGUAGUCCCUGAGCGGGCUGGCAAGGCGCAU